CAUCACCUCUGCCUGUGGAACACCUGAGAAGAAGCCAGGCCCCGCCCCCUGAAGCAGAGGGAGAUCUGUUCUCAGAAAAUAAAACCGUGAAGCCACGGAUGCCGUCAGCGUCACAAAGCUGUGGAGGAGAAGUCUGAGGUUUGGAAGGAUCCACGAGUUCUCCUCUGCAAGGACUCGACCGAACCGAGCGGAAGUCUGUCCUCGGAGGUGACAGGCAGGGAAGGACGGAGGAAACAGACGACGGAGGCCGACCUCCAGAGCAGAGAUUUGCAUCGUGAAGGGCAGACCUUAAACGCAUCACGCUGAGAUGACGAAGCAGAAACUGUCGUCUUGGACACGGAAACUCAAACUUUGUUGUUGUGUUUUUGUGUUCAUGUUUUUAUUCUUUUCUGGGUGUGGGACAGGAAGUGUCCGUUUUUCUGAUGGAAUCAGGGAUUUUAAUCUCAAAAGGUUCAGUUUGACAGAUAAUUUCCACAUUUCUGUUUUUGUCUGCUCCCUUCAGGGAAUCCCUCAGCCAAUCAGAUCAGUUGGAUGGAUUUGGCUUCAGUUUUAUGUCCAAUGAUCUCUAAUAUUUUAUUAUUAUGAAAUAAAAGACGUUGAAUAUGUA